rnacentral:rRNA from 1 species
AAUCAACGCUGGCGGCGUGCCUAACACAUGCAAGUCGAACGCGAAAGCGUCUUCGGACGUGAGUAGAGUGGCGUCCGGGUGAGUAACACGUAGGUAAUCUACCUUCGGGUGGGGAAUAACGCCUCGAAGAGGCGCUAAUACCGCAUAACGCAGCGGCAGCUAAUGCUGAUUAGUUGUUAAAGCGGGGGACCGGAGAGAUC